rnacentral:rRNA from 1 species
CCUACGGGAGGCAGCAGUCGAGAAUCAUUCACAAUGGGGGAAACCCUGAUGGUGCGACGCCGCGUGGGGGAAUGAAGGUCUUCGGAUUGUAAACCCCUGUCAUGUGGGAGCAAAUUAAAAAGAUAGUACCACAAGAGGAAGAGACGGCUAACUCUGUGCCAGCAGCCGCGGUAAUACAGAGGUCUCAAGCGUUGUUCGGAAUCACUGGGCGUAAGGCGUGCGUAGGCUGUUUCGUAAGUCGUGUGUGAAAGGCGCGGGCUCAACCCGCGGACGGCACAUGAUACUGCGAGACUAGAGUAAUGGAGGGGGAACCGGAAUUCGCGGUGUAGCAGUGAAAUGCGUAGAUAUCGAGAGGAACACUCGUGGCGAAGGCGGGUUCCUGGACAUUAACUGACGCUGAGGCACGAAGGCCAGGGGAGCGAAAGGGAUUAGAUACCCGAGUAGUC